GAUGAAGAACGUAGCGAAAUGCGAUAAUUAAUGUGAAUUGCAGAAUUCCGUGAAUCAUCGAGUCUUUGAACGCACAUUGCGCCUCAUGGCAUUCCGUGAGGCAUGCCCAUCUCAGCGUUAGAAAAUAUUCUCAAAUUUUAGUUUUGUACUAAAAUUUGGAUCAUGUCAAGGAAGCUAUUACUAUUAUUGUGAUCGCUCUUUGGAAAUUGAUAGGUCUUUGAGUUGCUACUCAUAGAACGCGAUGAAUCUUUCUUCGUUCUAUUGUAAUUCACUCUGGUAGUCCUAAAACUUGUAUGCCUGUGGCAUAUCUUGUAAUUUGACCUGAGAUUGGGUAGGGAUACCCGCUGAACUUAAGCAUAUCAAUAAGCGGAGGA
rnacentral:misc_RNA from 1 species